rnacentral:rRNA from 1 species
CCCUUAGAUGUUCUGGGCCGCACGCGCGCUACACUGAUGCAUUCAACGAGUCUAAAACCUGGUCUGAUAGGGCUGGGUAAUCUUUUGAAUGUGCAUCGUGAUUGGGAUAGAUGAUUGCAAUUCUUCAUCUUCAACGAGGAAUGCCUAGUAAACGCAAGUCAUCAGCUUGCAUUGAUUACGUCCCUGCCCUUUGUACACACCGCCCGUCGCUCCUACCGAUUGAAUGAUCCGAUGAAUAUCAUGGAUUGAGGAUUAUAGCAGGUUCGCCUGUCUUGAUCUUCGAGAAGUGAAGUAAAUCUUAUCAUUUAGAGGAAGGAGAAGUCGUAACA